rnacentral:lncRNA from 1 species
AUCAAGAGGUCUUGCUAUAGGAAGUGAUGGCAUAAUUGAUUUUCUUUAUAAAUCAAGGUACAGUUUUAAGUUGGGUUGCAGCACUGUGCUCUGAAACCAGUGAAGGUACAGGCCGUGUAUUUCUUUGUUGGCAUUGUUUCUCCAGCCUGACACAUUGUUGUUGAGUAGAACGUAAAUUACAUCAUAAAUGAAAAUUGCAUCUAUUAUUUGCUCAUGAUGAAUUUGAUAUUUUUAAAAACCUAAAUUCUAAAAAUUUGAGAGUUGGGGAUUCAAUGACUCUCCUCAUUUGAUAUUUUCACCUCGGUAAUGACAGUUUUCACAUAGUAUACAUUUCCAGUACAAAGAAAGGAAAUGCAUCUAACUUGGUUAUUCUUUCUAUUAUAUGGAACGUAACUGUGUUUCUGUGGAUAAUAACUUGCUUCUGACCAUUUAAAAUUCAACUCACUUUAAUGAAGGAGUGUUGCUAGAGAACUUGGCCAAAGCGUUGGAACCACCAAGCGCUGUAAGGAGAGAACAAGCUGAAAUGGCUCCAAUCCAGCUGGCAGUGCCCAUGUGACAAUGAAACACAAGCAGAGGUCUGCUGGGAAAAAUUCUGGAAAGUCUUUGCUUUCUUCAUUAAAAGGCUGGCAUUUUAACUCCCCUUCAGGUCUUGAAUAUGAAAGUGAAAUCUGGACAUGAGAGCAGCCAUCUUGCAACCAUGGGGUGAUGAAUAUAAAAGUAAAAGUCAAUACCCUAAAGGAAAGAA